rnacentral:rRNA from 1 species
AUAUGGAGCAAAACCCUAAAAACGGUCUCAGUUCGGAUUGAAGGCUGAAAUUCGCCUUCAUGAAGCUGGAAUUGCUAGUAAUGGCAGGUCAGCAUACUGCCGUGAAUACGUUCCCGGGUCUUGUACACACCGCCCGUCACACCAUGGGAGUCAGUAACGCCCGAAGCCGGUGACCUAACCUUUAUGGAGGGAGCCGCCUAAGGCGGGACAGAUGACUGGGGUGAAGUCGUAACAAGGUAGC